GACGAACGCUGGCGGCGUGCUUAACACAUGCAAGUCGAACGGAAAGGCCCUGCUUUUGUGGGGUGCUCGAGUGGCGAACGGGUGAGUAACACGUGAGUAACCUGCCCUUGACUUUGGGAUAACUUCAGGAAACUGGGGCUAAUACCGGAUAGGAGCUCCUGCUGCAUGGUGGGGGUUGGAAAGUUUCGGCGGUUGGGGAUGGACUCGCGGCUUAUCAGCUUGUUGGUGGGGUAGUGGCUUACCAAGGCUUUGACGGGUAGCCGGCCUGAGAGGGUGACCGGCCACAUUGGGCCUGAGAUACGGCCCAGACUCCAACGGGAGGCAGCGGUGGGGAAUAUUGCACAAUGGGCGGAAGCCGGAUGCAGCAACGCCGCGUGCGGGAUGACGGCCUUCGGGUUGUAAACCGCUUUCGCCUGUGACGAAGCGUGAGUGACGGUAAUGGGUGAAGAAGCACCGGCUAACUACGUG
rnacentral:rRNA from 1 species